rnacentral:lncRNA from 1 species
AAGAAAUCAAAGCUGCAUUUGCCAAAGGUGAAAUGUAAAAGAGCCUUCAGAAUUUUGUAAUUUUCACCAUGGCAUAAUCAUUUUUUCAUGAGACAAAGCCACAUAAAUCUCACUACUUUCUCGUCCCACAACUAGCAAAACAACUGUUUCAUGCUGAAUCUUUCGCUCCUGCAAGUUUUUCUAUUAAGCAGUGUCAUUAAAGACAUUUUAUGGAGGUGUGUUUAGAAACUUCAACUAAGUUUUCAUGUGGUUAAUUUGUUAUUUUAAUUUCUGAAAAAUAGAUAUGGCACAACUAAUUUUACGCCAUAAUAUACUGAGAUGAUAUUGCAGCC